UGCUGGGAUUACAGGUGUGAAUCAUUGUGCCUGGCCUGUGCACACUUUUUAUAAUGGGAUUUCUCUUCCUUACUUUUGAUGUCCCCUCUCUCAUACUUAGUUAACCAUUUUGAAUUCCACUUAGUAAGAAAAGUUUCCAUUUUCUUUUUCUUCAGGGGACUUAGAUAUGAUCUGCACCUAGAUGGUAAGAAGAUUUUCCAUAUUUUGAAGUAGAAACUUUCUGUAUGCCUGAAUCUUGCUGUCAAGAAUGUCUUGGCUAAUCAUGAAGGAAGAAUAUAAGAAUUUACAGUGGGUCAGCUUGUUCUGUGCUAACAUGGAAGUGACAAGAAGCUGGUGUCCCUCUACACAGAGGUCCCCACACUAAAUAUCAUCUUGGAUGUGCUUCACAUUGUUGCACAAAGGUGAUUUUUAAAAUUUGUAUGCAGCCAAGUCACUAUGAAUUAUCUUUAGUGAGUAAAGAGGAAGAUCGAACUGGUAACACUGUGGGUAAACAACUGAAAAAUAAUGUUAUCUUUCUCUGAACAUACUUGCACAAGACAAAUUCCAAAAAUAUUUUGACUACGUUAUUUUUGAAAAGGGUUUCCAGUAUUUCAAUGUGACUACUUUCACUAAUGGUACUUGCUUACCUAAAGUGCUUGUUAACAUGCAGUUUUGGAACUUCAUAGGUCUAUGCCCAUACUGACUUGUACUUGCUUAGUGUUGUUUUACAUUCUAGUUCAACAUCUAUUAUGUGAUAGACACUGGGGAUUAAUAGGCUGUGGUCUUUGCCCAUGAGGACCUCAAAACUUAGUUGAGAACACAGAAAUACAAAGAGUCCUGUGUGAAAAAUAAGUAUCGGUGUUAAGAUAAAGAAGCGGCAGUGGAAGACAGUGGAGGGACUGUCUGUUAGAGGGAGGAAUUUAUUGUGGUGUCGGCAAAGCCUUCUUUGGACUGAAGGAUGAAUUAUGAUUAGAAGUUCAUUAAGAGGAGGAGGGAAGGGGACUACAGGAGUCAUUCCAAGCCAAAGGAACAAAAGAUACAGGGACAGAAACAGCAAGAUAUGUUUGGGGGAAUCUCAAGUUAGUCAAUACUGUUAUUGUGUGAAGUUCACAACAGGGGCAGGGAGGACAGGAGAUGGGGCCCAAUGACGAAAAGGCCUUGUAUGUACCAUGUUUAGAAGUUUGAAUUUUAUCCUAUAGGAGUCAGGGAGAGGUUCUAUGGGUAGGAUUUCCCAUCCCAACAGGAUUGUAAACUCCCACAUCCAAUUAGUCACACCUCCAUUUUUUUUUUUUUCUGUUUCUUUAACAUUGUCUCGGAUUCAUUCCUUCUGAAAUCUACCUUAUUAGUUCAGGUCUUCUUAAAUUUGUGCCUGGACUGUUCACCAACUCUUGACUGGUCCUGGGGCUCCAGUUCACCUCUUGCUCCCAACAAUCAAUUUUCUACAGAAUUAUCAGAGCAAUCUUCCUUUCCAUCAAUCUCAACUCUGUUCAAAAACUUUCAAUAGUUUUAUGUGACCUAAGAGGUAGCUGCCUCCCCACCCUUUCAGCUUGCCAUUCAAGGCUGCAUAAUUUGGUCCCAACCCCCUUUCCGUCCUUGACUCCUCUCACUGCUAACAGAGACAGAACUCAUUUACUUACUCUUUUGACUGUACCUUUGCUUUCACGAGGGCUCUUUCCUGGAAUGAUAUGUCCAUACAACUAUUGUUGCUGUUCUUACUUUUAGCUCUUUUCUUAGAAGCCCACUUGUACCCAGGUUUGAUCACACCCCCUACUCUCCUGCCCUGGAAGUAACUACUAUUCUGGUUAUAGUCUCUUAAUAUCUAUAUCUAUAUAUAUGCAUCCACAGAUAAUGUGUAGUAUUGUCUUGAAAAAAAUAUACACAAAUGGUAUACUUUGUCUCCCUCUGUGAU
rnacentral:lncRNA from 1 species